rnacentral:tRNA from 1 species
UAUUAGCUCAGUUGCUUAGAGUGUUGUGUUAAUAAUAUAAAAAUCAUAGGUUCAAUUCCUACAUA